rnacentral:misc_RNA from 1 species
AAGUCGUAACAAGGUUUCCGUAGGUGAACCUGCGGAAGGAUCAUCACUGAUUCGGUCUUUUUUUCCACACACCCUGUGCACCGUGGGGGGCUGGGCGCGGGUUACCGCGCCGGCCCCCGCUCGUUUUUUACACGCCCGCGAACGCGCAUCUGAAACACACACACACAAAACAGACACAACUUUUAACAACGGAUCUCUUGGUUCUC